GUAAAGAUGCCAGAAACUAUUUUAUGGGGUUAAUUUAGGUUUAAUUUAUGGCUGAUAUUAAGUCUCUUUAUU
rnacentral:tRNA from 1 species